CCGUGCAGCUGCUGGGCAAGUCAUCCGCCUGGGCACCGGGGCCUUGCUUGGCGCUGGCGGACACGGAUCCUCCUGGCGGCUCUGGCAGCUUGGACAGGUUCCACGGAGGAAACUGAGGCAGAACCUCACCUGGUCCUGCCAUCCGGUGACUUCGGCGUCUCUACGUCAGAGAGGGAGCUUGUGGGAUCUCCGCCCCCUUCCAAGAUACUGUUCAUUCUUCUUCUUUCUCACAGGGAUGAGUAUUAGUGAAAACGGAUUCUCUUCCGCGAAAGUCACCUCACGUGGCUGCACUCUGGGAAGCUGGCAGGGUUUGCCUCUGACACCACAUUGUCUGUUUUUCUCUUCCGCCCCCCCUCCCAGUUUUAAAAACCACAUUCAUUACUUUUAUUUUCCUUUUCGCUUUAUUUUUCAGUGUGCAUUACGCAAACGUUAAAGAGCAUUAACAAAAUUCUAAGUAAAAGGCGAGAAGAACCACCCACAACUCUGCCACCACCGGCCACACUGCGUCACUUUGCCGGGCCCUGCCCCGCGCAGAGCCACACGCCCAUUCCUCGGGUGAAUACGAUGUAAUCGAUGUGACCAUUUUCCUACAUGUGAUCAAUACCAAUGGCUCCAGCUUCUUGCCGUCGUGGGAAAGCACUCUGCUUUCCCCUGUGGGACCAAUUCCUCGUGAUGAAUCCCUAAGAGUUUCCUCUCGAUUUUGCUUUGGAUCCAGAGGGGCCAGAGAUCUCGGGGAGCUGGGCAUCUCUUUGAUCCUACUGGAAUCUGUCUGAUCUUCAGACUCACCAGGGAACUUUGACAAGAUACUGCCGCCUGGGCCUCCUUGCAGACCCACUGAACUGAAAUUUCUCAGGACUGGUCUGUGGAGACAGGAUCACUUGGUGUCACGGAGGGGUGCGGGUGAGGAGGACACUCUUAGGAGCAGCCAGCGCACCUGCUCUUCUCAGUUUCCCCUCGGCUAGCCCCAUGGUGACAUGGCCUGGUGCUGCCCCAUCACGUCAACUGGCGUCGUUGGCCCUGGGCUGAGGCUGACGCUUCUUGUCCCACUGGGGCCAUAAGGAUGCAAACCAGCGAACCCCGGGCCACUGAAGCAGAGUGUGCGAACUUAACCGCUGCACCACUGCGCCACCGCGACAGAUUGUAUUUUCAAAAUGACCACAUGCCAUCCUCUUCCAGAACUUUGCAGCCCCUCUAACACAAAAGGACAAGUGCUUCCCCGCGCUUUGAGAAGGAUCUGGCCUUCACAAAUAGAAUGCAGUGGAAGUGACACUGCGUGGCUUCUGACACUAGGACACAAAAGAGCAGUACGGCUUCAGCCUGGCCUUCUCUCUCUUUCUGCACCCUGGGGGCCCUGAGAGAACUUGCAGGAAGUUUGCUGCCCUGAAGUCCCCAUGCUGGAGGGACAGUGUGGAGAGACCACACAGACAGAGAGAGAGAUGCCCCAGCACCUGUGAGUCUCCCCAGCAUGAGCCACUGCCCAUGUGAGCGAGUGGGCGAGCCUGUGGUGAUUCCACGCUCCAGCCUUGAGCUGCUCCAGCUGACGCUCGGUGGUGUGGAGAGAAGCCGGUCCUGCCGAGUCUUGCCUCAAAUGCAGAUCCAUGAGUGAAACAGACGCCGGCGUUUUCAGUCAUGAAGUUCAGGGCACUUACUCACACAGUGGACAAUCAGAGCAUGCCCCCUAGCAGGCCGGACUUUCUCAAUCCCAUUCCAUCUUUUCAAGAAGUUUUCAAAGUGUCUGGCCAUUCAUGUUAUCCUUCCCUG
rnacentral:lncRNA from 1 species